GCUCCGUUGGUGAACCAGCGGGGGGAUCAUUACCGAGUUUACAACUCCCAAACCCAAUGUGAACGUUACCAAACUGUUGCCUCGGCGGGGUCACGCCCCGGGUGCGUCGCAGCCCCGGAACCAGGCGCCCGCCGGAGGAACCAACCAAACUCUUUCUGUAGUCCCCUCGCGGACGUUAUUUCUUACAGCUCUGAGCAAAAAUUCAAAAUGAAUCAAAACUUUCAGCAACGGAUCUCUUGGUUCUG
rnacentral:misc_RNA from 1 species